rnacentral:rRNA from 1 species
UACAGAGGUCCCAAGCGUUGUUCGGAUUCACUGGGCGUAAAGGGUGCGUAGGUGGUGGGGUAAGUUUGAUGUGAAAGCUCCGGGCUUAACCCGGAAAUGGCAUUGAAUACUAUCUCGCUUGAGGGUUGGAGGGGAGACUGGAAUUCUUGGUGUAGCAGUGAAAUGCGUAGAUAUCAAGAGGAACACCAGUGGCGAAGGCGAGUCUCUGGACAACUCCUGACACUGAGGCACGAAAGCUAGGGGGAGCAAACAGG